GGGGAAUUUUGCGCAAUGGGGGAAACCCUGACGCAGCAACGCCGCGUGAGUGAUGAAGGCCUUCGGGUCGUAAAGCUCUGUCAGAGGGGAAGAAAUGCAGGGGUGCUAAUGUCAUCUUUGCUUGACGGUACCCUCAAAGGAAGCACCGGCUAACUCCGUGCCAGCAGCCGCGGUAAUACGGAGGGUGCGAGCGUUGUUCGGUAUUAUUGGGCGUAAAGCGCGUGUAGGCGGUUUGAUAAGUCUGAUGUGAAAGCCCCGGGCUCAACCUGGGAAGUGCAUUGGAAAAUGGCAGACUUGAAUACGGGAGAGGGUAGUGGAGUUCCUAGUGUAGGAGUGAAAUCCGUAGAUAUUAGGAGGAACACCGGUGGCGAAGGCGGCUACCUGGACCGAUAUUGACGCUGAGACGCGAAAGCGUGGGGAGCAAACAG
rnacentral:rRNA from 1 species